rnacentral:rRNA from 1 species
UACAGAGGUCUCAAGCGUUGUUCGGCUUCAUUGGGCGUCAAGGGUGCGUAGGCGGCGCGGUAAGUCGGGUGUGAAAUCUUGGAGCUUAACUCCGAAGCUGCAUUCGAUACUGCCGUGCUUGAGGACUGGAGAGGAGACUGGAAUUUACGGUGUAGCGGUGAAAUGCGUAGAUAUCGUAAGGAAGACCAGUGGCGAAGGCGGGUCUCUGGACAGUUCCUGACGCGGAGGCGCGAAAGCGUGGGGAGCGAACAGG